UACGUAGGGUGCGAGCGUUAAUCGGAAUUACUGGGCGUAAAGCGUGCGCAGGCGGUUCUCCAAGUCCGUUGUGAAAGCCCCGGGCUCAACCUGGGAAUGGCAGUGGAAACUAAGGGACUGGAAUCUGGCAGAGGGGGGUGGAAUGCCGCGUGUAGCAGUGAAAUGCGUAGAGAUGCGGCGGAACACCGAUGGCGAAGGCAGCCCCCUGGGCUGAGAUUGACGCUCAGGCACGAAAGCGUGGGGAGCAAACAGG
rnacentral:rRNA from 1 species